rnacentral:misc_RNA from 1 species
CAUUUACCCUGUAAAAACGACUAUUUAUGCGUCGGUGCUUUGAUAAAACCAUGCAGCGAAAGAAAAUGGAAGAAGAUAAACCCGGAGCUUUUAUAUCAUAUAAUUUUUUUCCAGCAGUCAUCUUCUGCCAGUUAAUUCUCCUACCUUUUCCAUUUCAUAUUUAGAAUCUUUUAGUCAGGUCACAAACGCGCCAUAAUUCCUACGGUCCUGUGCAAUUCAUUCGCUGCGAUUUUUUACAUUUUGUCCCUCCGCGAAAAUAGAGAGAGGAAAAAGAAGACAUAGAUACUUCACAAAUGUUUCGAAUGGGAACACAAACUGCAGAGAGA